rnacentral:rRNA from 1 species
UACGGGGGGGGUAAGCGUUGUUCGGAAUUACUGGGCGUAAAGGGCUCGUAGGCGGCCAACUAAGUCAUACGUGAAAUCCCUCAGCUUAACUGGGGAACUGCGUGUGAUACUGGAUGGCUUGGAUUUGGGAGAGGGAUGCGGAAUUCCAGGUGUAGCGGUGAAAUGCGUAGAUAUCUGGAGGAACACCGGUGGCGAAGGCGGCAUCCUGGACCAAUAUUGACGCUGAGGAGCGAAAGCCGGGGGAGCAAACGGG